rfam:Stegodyphus mimosarum contig60269, whole genome shotgun sequence.
GCCUUCGUGGUGUAAUGGUCAGCACACUCGGAGUGUAUUCGAGAAGUCUGAGGUUCGAGUCCCGGGGAGGGCA